rnacentral:rRNA from 1 species
GACGAAGGAUGCAAGCGUUAUCCGGAUUCAUUGGGUUUAAAGGGAGCGUGGGUGGCCUUGUAAGUCAGUGGUGAAAUCUGACAGCUUAACUGUUAAAUUGCCAUUGAUACUGCAAGGCUUGAGUACAGAUGCCGUUGGCGGAAUAUGACAUGUAGUGGUGAAAUACAUAGAGAUGUCAUAGAACACCGAUUGCGAAGGCAGCUGACGAAACUGUAACUGACACUGAGGCUCGAAAGUGUGGGGAUCAAACAGG